CACAUUCUGUGUGUGUGUUUGGUGUCGCCUGGAGAACAAGGAAAAAGGGGAAAAACCCCUUACUAUCAUAAAAUCCAGCAAUCAAAGAGGAGAAUGGAAGAUAAUCAAAUGCAUGUUCAUCAAUUCUAAUCAUCUUAACAUUCUAGACAUAAGGAAUUAAGGAAGAAAGCUCAAGUCGUACCGGGUCACAAACGAACAACGACAAAGGUAAAGCGACUUGUUAAAUGGCGUCACUUGGAUCGAACACAUUCAUGAUGCACGCUUCCGUGAAGAAACUAGUUGUAGUCAAAAAUUUUGUUAAAUGCUCUCCUUUUUGUUCCAAACGGGUCUUUUGUAAGUUGUAUGAUUCGAAAGUAGUAGAUGUUGAAUUUGUAGUUAAAAGACUAUGUUAGUAGUUUAUGUAAAGUUUGGGUUAAAAACUUUUGUAGUCGUUAUGUUGUUCGUCACCAAGUUAAAUGCAGAAUUUUGGUUUGUAAAUUA